rnacentral:rRNA from 1 species
UGGGGAAUUUUGGACAAUGGGCGCAAGCCUGAUCCAGCCAUGCCGCGUGCAGGAUGAAGGCCUUCGGGUUGUAAACUGCUUUUGUACGGAACGAAACGGCCUUUUCUAAUAAAGAGGGCUAAUGACGGUACCGUAAGAAUAAGCACCGGCUAACUACGUGC